UACGUAGGGUGCGAGCGUUAAUCGGAAUUACUGGGCGUAAAGCGUGCGCAGGCGGUUUUCCAAGACAGAUGUGAAAUCCCCGGGCUCAACCUGGGAAUGGCAUUUGUGACUGGAAGGCUAGAGUGUGUCAGAGGGGGGUAGAAUUCCACGUGUAGCAAGUGAAAUGCGUAGAGAUGUGGAGGAAUACCGAUGGCGAAGGCAGCCCCCUGGGAUAACACUGACGCUCAUGCACGAAAGCGUGGGGAGCAAACAGG
rnacentral:rRNA from 1 species